GGGCGUGAAUUCCGUCCCGAGCGGAGAUCUCCGGGGCGGAUCGCGCAGGGCCUGCGGUGGCUGGGAAGACCAGCGGGGCGGCGGCCCGCGAGGAUUGAUUCCGUUCUCGCUGAUUGGCCCGCGGCCCAGCCCGGUAGUGACCGACCCUGGUUCUCACUGACGGUGGCCCACACUGACCGACAGACGGGCAAGUGAGUUGCUCCAAGAGCGAGAGCAAAUGAGCCCACGUUGUACAGCACGUUGACAAAGCGCCUGUUGGUUUUAAUCCAGAACCGGAAGAUGAAGCUAAGACCAGGCUGGGUGGAGGCCACUCCUCCGUGGAUGCCGUGUGAACCGACACACCUGGCCCUAAAGAAGAUGAGGCCUUUGUCUUUUUAGCGCCUGGACACUGUUUUCCAUUUAGAGAUUGCCGCCACCAAGUGGCGGUACCUUAACAUGGCCAUGCAGUCUGAGUCUAGGAGGGAUGGGGAGCUGGUACCGUGGGCGAGUCAGUGUACGUUGCCUUUGGGCUACUGAAGCCUUUUGAGUUAUUAAACUGUGACAAGGUCUGUGGGACUCCCUAGCUUCAGAUUCUCUGUCUCUCAGGAGCUCCACCUCCAGGUGGGAGCAAGGGAUGAGAGCUUCCACUCUGGCUUUGCUUGAAAUGUCUUGACUCCGAGAAGAGCGGACUAGUUAAGUGGUUGGGAUAUAUAGGUUUGUUGCUGAGAAGGACUGGGCUUCUUGAUUGUCUUUGAAACCACGGAAUUGGACAGUGUGUCAAAUGGGCAUAUAGAGGCCAAGGGUAAAGUGGAGGAAGAAGAGCCCUCAAAGGAGACUGGGCAGGACUGGUGAACAGGUAGGAAGAGCAUCCAGAGGACCUCGGAGAAAGCAGGUGGAGUGCGGAGUGUUGAAUGCUGCGGGGAACUCAGGCAAGGCAGGCCAGGCCAGACCUGUAUCCUUCGUCCUUGGCAUUUUGCAACAUGGAGGUCCCUGGUGAGACAAGCAAGAGGGUUUUGGUUGAUUGGUGACUGUGGAAGCCAACUUUCAGCGGGUUGAGAUUUUUCUACACAGGUGUGCUGGAGUCCGCUUGUCCUGGCUGGCGAGAGCUAAUUGUCACAUUUUUAGGAAUUUGGGAGCUAGUUAAACACAGUUAAUUGUAUAAACUUCUGACCAAAUGGAUUAUAUUUAGACAAAGUCAGAAAGAGAGCCUUCACCAAGGACCGAAUUCUGCUGGCACCUUGAUCUUGGACUUGCAAGUCUCCAGAACUGUGAGAAACAACUGUCUGUGGUUUGGGUGCACCCCACCCCCCUGCCCACCCCUCAGUCUGUGGUAUUUUGUUAACAACAGUCCCAGGUGAUCGAGACCUUCGCCUCUCUCUGAUCAAUAGACCAAGCCAUGUGCUCGAGGCUGCCUGGUGUGGUGGCACAAUGCAGGGAACCUUCCCGGCGCUGUAUGGGGAGCAUGCCACUGGGCAUGGCCAGUGGCAAGACCAGGAGCAGGACAUGGACCAAGCGACUCGGGGAGCUGCCCUUUGGAGAAGCAUCCAGUUCUGGCAAGAGUGUGUGUGCAGUGUUCAUCCAGGAUGGGCAAGAUUUGGGGCUGAGAUCAUCGCAGAGAGACAGUAUUAUUUCCCUAUUGCCAGGUAACAAAUUCUUCGAAACAUGAUGGCUUAACAGAGAACAGAAUGGUGGUUCCUGGUGACCCGGGGCUGGAGAAAUGAGAAGGUGGUGUUUGGUGUGUAUCAAGUUCCAGUUGUGCAAUGUGAGUAUGCUCUAGAGCUCAGGGCUGUGCAACAUAGUGCCUGCCGUUAGUGUUGCUAAUACAACACUGUAUUGGGCACCUGAAAAUUUUCAGUUUUAAGAACACUCAUGGUAGGUGUUCUCCACGUUUCCCCCCCACCCCUAAAACAAAGGCUACAAGAAAACUGUGGGGGUGAAGGAUAUGUUGUUACCUUGACUGUGGUAAUGGUGUCACGGGUGUGUGCCUAAGUCCAAACUCAUCUCAUUAUAGACGUUAAAUAUUUGCAGCUUUUUUACAUCAGUUAUACCUCAAUAAAGCUGUUUUUAAAAAAA